rnacentral:tRNA from 1 species
CGGGGCGUAGCGCAGUCCGGUUAGCGCGCUUGCUUUGGGAGCAAGAGGUCCCGGGUUCGAAUCCCGGCGCCCCGACAA